AUACGGAGGGUGCAAGCGUUGUUCGGAAUUAUUGGGCGUAAAGCGCGUGUGGGCGGUCUUUUAAGUCUGAUGUGAAAGCCCCGGGCUCAACCUGGGAAGUGCAUUGGAUACUGGCAGACUUGAAUACGGGAGAGGGCAGUGGAAUUCCUGGUGUAGGAGUGAAAUCCGUAGAUAUCAGGAGGAACACCGGUGGCGAAGGCGGCUGCCUGGACCGAUAUUGACGCUGAGACGCGAAAGCGUGGGUAGC
rnacentral:rRNA from 1 species